rnacentral:rRNA from 1 species
CAGUGCCGCGGUAAUACAGAGGGUGCGAGCGUUAAUCGGAUUUACUGGGCGUAAAGCGUGCGUAGGCGGCUAAUUGAGUCGGAUGUGAAAUCCCCGAGCUUAACUUGGGAAUUGCAUUCGAUACUGGUUAGCUAGAGUGUGGGAGAGGAUGGUAGAAUUCCAGGUGUAGCGGUGAAAUGCGUAGAGAUCUGGAGGAAUACCGAUGGCGAAGGCAGCCAUCUGGCCUAACACUGACGCUGAGGUACGAAAGCAUGGGGAGCAAACAGGAUUAGAUACCCCAGUAGUCCCUGUCUCUUAUACA